rnacentral:RNase_P_RNA from 1 species
CGAGGUGGUCGGAUGGUCGCGCGGGACUGUCGGAGCGAUCCGACGUGUCUCGUGAGGAAAGUCCGAGCUCCUCAGCGCAGGGUGGCGGGUAACGCCCGUCCGUCGUGAGACGAGGACCAGUGCCACAGUGACGAUGCCGCCGACCGGCUUUCGGGUCGGCCGGCGGAGUGAAACGCGGCAAACUCCACCCGGAGCAAGGCCGAAUAGGAGGGCGCAACCCGUGCCGGGCAACCGGUUCGGGGGAGAGGUGCGCUGCCCAGCCCUCGGGUAGGCCGCAAGAGCCGUUGGGCAACCGGCGGCCACAGAUGGAUGGCCAUCCCCUAUGUGCGCUUCGGCGUGCGGAGGGACAGAACUCGGCUUACAGACCGCCUCGCUGA